GACGAACGCUGGCGGCGUGCUUAAUACAUGCCAGUCGAACGGAAAGACCCUGCUUUUGUGCGGUGCUCGAUUGGCGAACGGGUGAGUAACACAUGAGUAACCUGCCCUUGACUUUGGGAUAACUCCAGGAAACUGGGGCUAAUACCGGAUAGGAGCUCCUGCUGCAUGGUGGGGGUUGGAAAGUUUCGGCGGUUGGGGAUGUACUCGCAGCUUAUCAGCUUGUUGGUGAGGUAGUGGCUUACCAAGGCUUUGACGGGUAGCCGGCCUGGGAGGGUGACCGGCGACCUUGGGACUAAGAGAGGGACCAGAAUGCAAUGGGCGGCAGUAGUGGGGAGUCUUGCAGAGUAGGCGGAAGCCUGAUGUAGAAACGUUCCGUGCGGGAAGCUGGGCUUCGGGUUAUAAACAGCUUUCUAAUGUACCGUAGCGUGAGUGACGGUAAUGGGUCAGGAAGCAACGGCUAACUACGUG
rnacentral:rRNA from 1 species